rnacentral:tRNA from 1 species
CAUUUAGAAGCUAUGCAUCAGCACUAACCUUUUAAGUUAGCUACAGAUUCCCUUAUCCUAAAUGA